GAUGAACGCUGGCGGCGUGCCUAAUACAUGCAAGUCGAGCGAACAGACGAGGAGCUUGCUCCUCUGACGUUAGCGGCGGACGGGUGAGUAACACGUGGAUAACCUACCUAUAAGACUGGGAUAACUUCGGGAAACCGGAGCUAAUACCGGAUAAUAUAUUGAACCGCAUGGUUCAAUAGUGAAAGACGGUUUUGCUGUCACUUAUAGAUGGAUCCGCGCCGCAUUGGGUAGUUGGUAAGGUAACGGCUUACCAAGGCAACGAUGCGUAGCCGACGUGAGAGGGUGAUCGCCCACACUGGAGCUGGGCCACGGUCCAGACUCCUGCGGGACGCAGCAGUAGGGAAUCUUCCGCAGUGGGCGAGAGCUUUGCGGAGCAGCGCCGCGUGAGUGAUGACGGUCUUCGGUUCGUAAAGCUCUGUUAUUAGUGAAGAACAAAUGUGUAAGUAACUAUGCACGUCUUGACGGUACCUAAUCAGAAAGCCCCGGCUAACUACGUG
rnacentral:rRNA from 1 species